rnacentral:rRNA from 1 species
AUUGACCGCUGGCGGCAGGCCUAACACAUGCAAGUCGAGCGAGCGGCGGACGGGUGAGGAAUGGCUGGGAAACUGCCUGAUGGGGGGGGAUAAAUACUGGAAACGGUAGGUAAUCACGCAUACCAUCAGAGGUGCCCCGCUGGGAUUAGCUAGUUGGUGGGGUAACGCCCCACCAAGGCGACGGUCCUUAGCUGGUCUGAGAGGCUGACCAGACACAAUGGAACUGAUACACGGUCCAGACUCCUACGGGAGUCAGCAUGGGGGAAUAUUGCACACUGGGCGAAAGCCUGAUGCAGCCAUGCCGCGUGUGUGAAGAAGGCCUUCGGGUUGUAAAGCACUUUCAGCGGGGAGGCGUUACCAGCAGAAGAAGCACCGGCUAACUCCGUGCCAGCAGCCGCGGUAAUAC